CCAUUGUCUUUGACAACACCUCCCAUAGCAUCAAUCAUUUCCACCCUGAAAAACUCACCAGCCUUAACCUCUGCUACUGGUGGUAUCUCAGGAUGCCAUCUAUUAUGCAGUGGCUGGUUCUGUUGCCAUGGUUUCUUAUUCAAAUCCACCUUCACCACUACUCUUGGACUCGGUGGAGCCAUCUCAAUAUGCAGGGAAUCAGAGACUCUAAAACCUCAGGUGAUCGGUGGAAUCUCCGGGGAACCAACUGUUGUGGAGCGGCUAGUAGUCUUGCUUACAUGGCUUCUUCUUCGUCUUCCUGAGGUCAAACAUUAAAACAUUCUUUGAUCCGUACUUGCUCACUCUUGCUGGAACAGAGGAGAUGCUGUGAAUAAGCAUCCGACAGAUUUUGUCCACAAAAAUCUAAUCGAAUCUUCCUUCAUUUGACUUAAAUUUUACCUUUUGUUUUUGUGUUGUUUCUUUUCUUUUGUGUGGUUGUGGCUUACACGCUUGGCGUCAUCAAGAUUUCCUUUUGGUGUCUACUAUCAUAUUUUGUUUAUUAUUAGUCCUAUUUUAUAACUUUUA